UACGUAGGGUGCAAGCGUUAAUCGGAAUUAUUGGGCGUAAAGAGCUCGUAGGCGGUUUGUCGCGUCUGCCGUGAAAGUCCGGGGCUCAACUCCGGAUCUGCGGUGGGUACGGGCAGACUAGAGUGAUGUAGGGGAGACUGGAAUUCCUGGUGUAGCGGUGAAAUGCGCAGAUAUCAGGAGGAACACCGAUGGCGAAGGCAGGUCUCUGGGCAUUAACUGAUGCUGAGGAGCGAAAGCAUGGGGAGCGAACAGG
rnacentral:rRNA from 1 species